rnacentral:tRNA from 1 species
UAGCCAAGUGGUUAAGGCUUUGGAUCGCCAAUCCGGAGACGGCGGGUUUGAUUCCCGU